UACGUAGGGUGCAAGCGUUGUCCGGAAUUAUUGGGCGUAAAGAGCUCGUAGGCGGUUUGUCGCGUCUGCUGUGAAAACUCAGGGCUUAACUCUGAGCUUGCAGUGGGUACGGGCAGACUAGAGUGCGGUAGGGGAGACUGGAAUUCCUGGUGUAGCGGUGAAAUGCGCAGAUAUCAGGAGGAACACCGGUGGCGAAGGCGGGUCUCUGGGCCGUAACUGACGCUGGAGGAGCGAAAAGCAUGGGAGCGAACAGG
rnacentral:rRNA from 1 species